rnacentral:rRNA from 1 species
GUGGGGAAUAUUGGACAAUGGGCGAAAGCCUGAUCCAGCCAUGCCGCGUGUGUGAAGAAGGUCUUCGGAUUGUAAAGCACUUUAAGUUGGGAGGAAGGGCAGUAAGUUAAUACCUUGCUGUUUUGACGUUACCGACAGAAUAAGCACCGGCUAACUUCGUGCCAGCAGCCGCGGUAAUACGAAGUGUGCAAGCGUUAAUCGGAAUUACUGGGCGUAAAGCGCGCGUAGGUGGUUUUGUAAGUUGGAGGUGAAAUCCCCGGGCUCAACCUGGGAACUGCCUCCAAAACUGCAUGACUAGAGUACGGUAGAGGGUAGUGGAAUUUCCUGUGUAGCGGUGAAAUGCGUAGAUAUAGGAAGGAACACCAGUGGCGAAGGCGACUACCUGGACUGAUACUGACACUGAGGUGCGAAAGCGUGGGGAGCAAACAGGAUUAGAAACCCCAGUAGUCC